UGCGGAGGAUCAUUAUUGAAAUUAUAGGUGAGGGUUGUAGCUGGCCUCUCGGGGCAUGUGCACGCCCGAGCCCUUAAUCCACACACACCUGUGAACCUAUUGUAAGGGCCCUUAAAAAAGGCCUUUACGUCUUAUCAUCAACCCAUCGUAUGUCUCAUAGAAUGUAAAUAUAUGUCCUCGCCUUAAAAAGCGUUGAUAAACUUAUACAACUUUCAACAACGGAUCUCUUGGCUCUCGCAUCGAUGAAGAACGCAGCGAAAUGCGAUAAGUAAUGUGAAUUGCAGAUUUUCAGUGAAUCAUCGAAUCUUUGAACGCACCUUGCGCUCCUUGGUAUUCCGAGGAGCAUGCCUGUUUGAGUGUCAUUAAAUUCUCAACUCCGAUCGAUUUGUUUCGACUUCGGAGCUUGGAUUUGGAGCGUGCUGGCGUCGGUCGGCUCCUCUUAAAUGCAUCAGCGGAAUCUAACGUUUCGGACGUCAGUGUGAUAAUCAUGUUGCGCUGUCUGUCUGAUCCGAAAGCCCGCUCAC
rnacentral:rRNA from 1 species